rnacentral:rRNA from 1 species
UCCGUAGGCGGUUUUUUAAGUCAGAGGUGAAAUCCUGCAGCUCAACUGUAGAAUUGCCUUUGAAACUGAAAGACUUGAGUUAUUGUGAAGUGGUUAGAAUGUGUGGUGUAGCGGUGAAAUGCAUAGAUAUCACACAGAAUACCAAUUGCGAAGGCAGAUCACUAACAAUAUACUGACGCUCAGGGACGAAAGCGUGGGUAGCGAACAGGAUUAGAUACCCUGGUAGUCCACGCCGUAAACGAUGGAUACUAGCUGUAUGUCUACUUCAGGUAGAUGUGUGGCCAAGCGAAAGUGAUAAGUAUCCCACCUGGGGAGUACGAUCGCAAGAUUGAAACUCAUAGGUAUUUGACGGGGGCCCGCACAAGCGGUGGAGCAUGUGGUUUAAUUCGAUGA